AUUGAACGCUGGCGGCAUGCCUUACACAUGCAAGUCGAACGGUAACGCGGGGCAACCUGGCGACGAGUGGCGAACGGGUGAGUAAUACAUCGGAACGUGCCCAGUAGUGGGGGAUAGCCCGGCGAAAAGCCGGAUUAAUACCGCAUACGACCUACGGGUGAAAGCGGGGGAUCGCAAGACCUCGCGCUAUUGGAGCGGCCGAUGUCAGAUUAGGUAGUUGGUGGGGUAAAGGCCUACCAAGCCUACGAUCUGUAGCUGGUCUGAGAGGACGACCAGCCACACUGGGACUGAGACACGGCCCAGACUCCUACGGGAGGCAGCAGUGGGGAAUUUUGGACAAUGGGCGCAAGCCUGAUCCAGCCAUGCCGCGUGCGGGAAGAAGGCC
rnacentral:rRNA from 1 species